GACAGAGGUCCCGAGCGUUAGGCGGAAUCACUGGGCUUAAAGCGUGUGUAGGCGGAUUGGUAAGUACCUUGUGAAAUCCCACGGCUCAACCGUGGAACUGCUGGGUAUACUGGCGAUCUUGAGCCACCUAGGGGCGAGCGGAACAAGCGGUGGAGCGGUGAAAUGCGUAGAUAUCGCUUGGAACGCCAAUGGUGAAAACAGCUCGCUGGGGGUGUGCUGACGCUGAGACACGAAAGCCAGGGGAGCGAACGGG
rnacentral:rRNA from 1 species